UGGGGAAUUUUGGACAAUGGGGGGAACCCUGAUCCAGCAACGCCGCGUGAAUGAAGAAGGCCUUCGGGUUGUAAAGUUCUUUUGUCGCAGAGCAAAGGUUGAUGGCGAAAAGCAGUCAACGCUGAGAGUAUGCGAAGAAUAAGCACCGGCUAACUACGUGCCAGCAGCCGCGGUAAUACGUAGGGUGCGAGCGUUAAUCGGAAUUACUGGGCGUAAAGGGUGCGCAGGCGGAUGGUUAAGUUAGAAGUGAAAUCCCCGGGCUCAACCUGGGAAUGGCUUUUAAGACUGGCGAUCUAGAGUUUGUCAGAGGGGGGUGGAAUUCCAAGUGUAGCAGUGAAAUGCGUAGAGAUUUGGAGGAACACCGAUGGCGAAGGCAGCCCCCUGGGAUAAAACUGACGCU
rnacentral:rRNA from 1 species